rnacentral:tRNA from 1 species
GGUUCCAUGAUGUGAUGGUUAGCAUGUCUGCUUUACACGCAGAAGGUCCUGGUUUGCGCCCCAGUGGAGCCA